rnacentral:rRNA from 1 species
UACGUGAGGUCCGAGCGUUGUCCGGAGUUACUGGGCGUAAAGCGCGCGCAGGCGGCGGUGUUGGCCCGGGCGUAGCAAAGCCCCCGGCUCAACCGGGGAGAGUCGUCGGGGACCGCACGCUUGAGGGCGGUAGGGCUGGUGGAAUGCCUGGUGUAGUGGUGAAAUGCGUAGAGAUCAGGCAGAACACCUGGGGCGAAGGCGGCCAGCUGGGCCGACACUGGACGCUGAUGCGCGAAAGCCAGGGGAGCGAACGGG